AUUGAACGCUGGCGGAAUGCUUUACACAUGCAAGUCGAACGGCAGCACGGACUUCGGUCUGGUGGCGAGUGGCGAACGGGUGAGUAAUAUAUCGGAACGUGCCCAGUCGUGGGGGAUAACGUAGUGAAAAUUACGCUAAUACCGCAUACGAUCUAUGGAUGAAAGCGGGGGAUCGCAAGACCUCGCGCGAUUGGAGCGGCCGAUAUCAGAUUAGGUAGUUGGUGAGGUAAAGGCUCACCAAGCCAACGAUCUGUAGCUGGUCUGAGAGGACGACCAGCCACACUAGAACUGAGACACGGUCCAGACUCCUACGGGAGGCAGCAGUGGGGAAUUUUGGACAAUGGACGCAAGUCUGAUCCAGCCAUUCCGCGUGCAGGACGAAGGCCUUCGGGUUGUAAACUGCUUUUGUACAGAACGAAAAGGUCUCUAUUAAUACUAGGGGCUCAUGACGGUACUGUAAGAAUAAGCACCGGCUAACUACGUG
rnacentral:rRNA from 1 species